rnacentral:rRNA from 1 species
UACGGAGGGUGCGAGCGUUGUCCGGAAUCACUGGGCGUAAAGGGCGCGUAGGUGGCUUUGUAAGUUUGCGGUGAAAGCCCGGGGCUCAACCCCGGGUCUGCCGUGGAUACUGCAAGGCUUGAGUACUGUAGAGGCAGGUAGAAUAUCGGGUGUAGCGGUGGAAUGCGUAGAGAUCCGAUAGAAGACCGGUGGCGAAGGCAGGCUACUACGACGUGAUUGACACUGAGGCACGAGAGCAUGGGUAGCGAACAGG